CUCCUUGCUUUGCACCCGGUGGGGGAAACGCAGGCGCAGGAUCUCUUCCCUCAAGCCUGACACAAUCUGAGGGGAAAAUGUGAUCAGAUCCUCCUACUCCCAUCUCCUACAGGCCUGGGAGAAGGGGCCCACAGACAAGGACUUGCCUGAGGUUAUGGGGACUGAUGAAUAGGAAGACAAGGAAAAGGCCAUAGUUUUUUCUCGGCCACAGUUGCUAUUUCCCAAAUCCUAAGGAAAGAGGAAAAAAAUGAGAGUCCUCUCCCACUACUGCCACCUACCUUCUAGACAUGACUUCUUCCCGCUGACAUAACUAAGCAAUUGACUUUACCUGGGAAAUCACCACCUGUGAGAAAGUAAUCAGCCAUCCCAACUUUGUGAGAUACUCUAUUUCUCUCUCCUCCUUCCUAAAAAGUCCUCACC